GUGGAGUGACUGUCAGAUGCAGCCAGC
rnacentral:miRNA from 1 species